CUCACUCACUCACUCACUCGCUCUUUCUUCCCCCUCCUCUUCUUUUCCUUUAUAUCUUAUAUCUUCUUUUAUAUGAUUUAAUAUACCUCCGUCAAAAAAUUUUCGUAUUUCGUCGAAAAGGUUCGAAAAGGAAACGAGAGAAGGAGGAAAAAAAAAAAGAGAGAAAAAGAAUGGAAUUUUUAAAAGAUCGCGUAAUAUAAUCGAUGAACUACGAUCCCGAACACGAUCGUAGAGAAUAAGCGUUUUAAAGCGAGGAAGAAACCGGAAUUUCAACUCGCGUCCCAUCGGUGCGCCGCGUUAAUUAUCGCAAUUGGCUAAUUGGCUCAAUUGGGCAAGUUUCUCGGUAGGAAUUAAGACGGUGAAUUUUUGCGGGCUAACCGAAUCGAACAUUCCGUUUCCCGGAACCCGUGCUACACGUAAAUCCUCGGCGAGUAACGGAAUAAGUUGCAUAAGUUGGAUAAUUGGUAAUAAAAUAUAAAAUCGAUAUUUUAUCAGUUAAUAAUAAUAAUAAUAAUGUUUCCUUUUUUUCUAUAGAGUGUUAUUAUAUUCUCGUUCAUUUUUACGAGGUAAAAAUAUUAAGUCGAGGAGCAGAUAAUCACGGAGGGAUCGUGGAAAAACUUUCACUUACGCGUUUCGAACGCGUUGAAAAUCAACUAUUUCGUUGUUUUAACAGGCGUAAACGGGCGUUUAUGAUGCUCGCGAUAAACGAGCGCUGCGUGAAAGCGAAGGCGUGGGCGGAAUUGGGUGUAAUUGAAUUCGAAGAUAUAUAGAUAUACAGAUGUAUAGAUUUGGAGGAAUGCGGUCGAAAACGAAUAUUUAAUAACGAAUAUUUAAUAAUAAUAAUAAUACCAGAGGAAUAUUCCAUGGACCAUGUUUGAAUCGGAAUAAUAAAUAAAUAAAUAAACGUAAAAACAGCGUUUUGAAUAAAUCCAACUUUUUUUUUUUUUUUUUAUUAUCGAGCGAGAUUUUACAGAUUUUACCGUUCUCGACUCGGUUUCCAUUUUUUCUUUCGACGAUUCGCGACGCUCGAUCAAGGACGCGCCACCGCCAGCUAUUCCUUCCUACAUUCUACAUCCACCGCUUUUCUUUCGCGAAACCUUGCGUUAUCCAGAUUCGAACCGGCUUUGUUUCGCGUCGAGCGCUCCACGUCCUCGAGUAUAAAAAUAACUCGAUAGUUUAAUGUAAACGACGCGAUGCACAUAUAUCGUAGACGAGAAACCAAAUAUUGUUUCUACUCUUGAACGCACUCUAUUUCCCUCCUUUUCACCCAAGUAAAAGUGUUCGUUGAUACAACAACGGUGUUAAACGCUAUUCCACGACUCGCGACGCGGACAGAACCAGUGUAUAUGAAUUAUAACUAACGCGUCAUUCUUUUUCUUUUUCUUUUUCCUUUCUUCCUCCUUCUCUUCUUCUUCUUUUUUCUUCUUGUUUUUGUUCUUCUUCUUCUUCGCGAUAUUCCUCGCCGAUUUAUCGCCACGUGCCAUUAAUAAUGCCGGCGAAACGACCUUACGACCGAGAUCGUCGUUAUCGAUUAAGAAUCAAUCGCAACAUUGUCUCGGUUCCGUGCCCCAGACGAACGAUUCGCCUCGUGGAAUAAACUCGCCUCGUAAAUAAACGCUUAGAAUAUGAAAAACGAUCGUACGGCUCGUCCGUCGCUCAUGAAUAAUUCACGGCAAUCGGUCUUGCGUUUCAGCCUUUCGUUGAUGCUUGCUUCUUGAUUGAAGUUAAAUUUCGCGUUUAAUCGGGGAUGGGAGGGGAGGGGAGGGGAGGGGAGGGGAGGGGAGAGCCGAGGCGAGCCGACCCGACCCAACCCAACCCAACCCAAGCCAAACCAUAAAGCGCGCAAAAAAUGUUAUUAUCCUCGUCUUUUUUCUUCCCAUGCGGUGUUCCUUCUCUCGCCGAGCAAUAAACACACCGGGCAAACUCGAGAAAGACUCGAAGACGUUUUAAAACCGUUUUUUUACAAUCGGUCCAAUUCGGUUCGCUUCUCCAACGAACAUUUUGCAAGAACGAUCGGUCGAAAAAUAUGAAAAAUUCCUCGGAGCUCGUGGAAUGUUCGAGGAUGAAACGGAGAAAAAAAGCGGGAUAAUCGGAGAGUUAUCGAUGUUAUCGGGGCGUUAUCUCGCGAAACACGAUCCAUCGUAUCGAUUCGUAAUCGACGCGUUUUAUUGACGCGUUGAUCCUUUCGCCGUCGAUAGUCGAAUUUAAUAAACAACUCGCUGCGAUUAAUCGAUAUCGAUACGGGUUGUAAUCUCGAGUUGAUAUCGAGUUUUUAUUUUUGUCCACUUGAUUCGAGAGAAAUAUUUCGUGGAUCGUGCUAAUGCGACAAUGCUUUUUUAAUAUAGUUUUUAAUAUAGGUUAGGGUUAAAACAGUUUUUUUCGAGACGUCAGAUUGAAAAAAAUCGGCGUCGUUCAUUUCGUACGAUGGUGGUUUCAGUGAUGAAAUAUUACAGACCCUGUCCAAUGAAUCUUCUCUCAAAAGCCUUCGAGGCUCGAGUCGAGAGGUGGAGGGGAGGGCUUGUUCCUUAAUCUUCUCGAAUCUCUUCGAAUAAUUCGGCAAAUAUCGACGAGCCACGUUUCGAAAAGAAGUACAGAUUUCAAAAAAAAAGGAGAGAAAAAAAAUACAAUACAAACCAGAGUUCUUAGAGAUCGAGAAUGAAAGAGAAGAGAAGAGAAUCGAAAUUGGGAGUAGAAUUAGAAAGGCCGUGGUGUCACGACGCGGUGUCCUCACAUUUUUAUUUAACCAGCCAGCAGGCAAAUGAAAUCGCGAUGCUUGCCAGCGGGCAUAAUUUCCACGAAGUAACUGGCUCGACCCCGUUCUCUAAUUGAUCGAUCUCUAAUUAACUCAUCGAUCACGAUUGAUCCUGGUAUCGAUCAACGGAAAAAACGACCUCUUCUUCGUUUUUUUUCUUUUUUUUAUCCAUCCAUCCUUUCAAUUUUUUAUCCAUGAAAGAAAAAAAGAAAAGUUGAAAAAAUUGUGCAAAAAUAAAUUGUCGAUAAUGAAAUAAAAAUAAAAAUAAAAACUAUUUCUCUCUCUCUCUCUCUCUCUCUCGUUUUGUUCAAUUUCUCAGACGACAGGAUCACGAUCUGUAUCAUCCACGAUUUUCAUCCCGAUCGAUAGAAGACGAGGGAAGGCAGGAAACAGAAGAAUAUUGAUUACGUUGUUCGAGUACGUGCUCGCAGAAGAACGAUAUUCCUCUUCCUUCUUUUUUCUCUCUCUCUUUUUUUCUUUUAUUUUUUCUCUUUUUUUCCUCUCCGUUUACCUUGGCUCCACUGGAAUGCGUCGAAGAUAAGUCGAACAACGAAGGAAAGAGGUUUUGUUUUUUCCAAUGGAAAUAUCGUGUACAGGUGCGCACGGGACGGAAAGAGUCAGUUGGCGGAGGAAGGAAACCUCGAGCUCGUAUCAUCCGCUCGAAUACGUACGUAUUUCGAUCGAAAAAGACCAACGUAUGCAAAAUUGGCCGCCACUUCAACCGCCACGAAUGCUUGCCAAUCCGCGAUAUAGUUAUGUGCCAUGUGUAUAGUUAUAUACCGUACGAUUACGCGAAUGUAUCAACUUGUACAGUUUAUCGACGGGUGUAGCGUUCCGUCGAUAAACUCAAGACACGGGAAUCGAGUCGAUAUUUCGCGAGGAGAUUCUCGAAACUUUUGUGUCGUUUCGAUUAUCCGAUUAACUUUCACGCGUAUGCACGCGAGAUUGCAUAGACGAUUUCGUUCAUUUCGUUCUAUAUAAAUCGACUUGCAGCAACCCGAAACAAACGAGUUUUGGAACGUGAAAUACGGGUGAAAUACGAUAGUCUUAAAAUUAUUGGAUACGAUUGUUCGGUGUUUCUUUAAGUCUUCCCAAGUUGAAAUAACAAAAGGAUGUAGGAAAAUUUCUAGAAUAUUUUGAAUUCUUUGCUCGGCGAGACGUGUAAUAGCCUUAAAAUUAUCGGAUAAGAUUCUACUAAGACUUCGUGCUUCGUUAAAGGUUAACCUAACCUAAACUCCACGCGACAACGAUAUAUAGACGUGUAAUUUACCAAAUCGAAAAGUGAAAGUGCCGAAGAGACCGAAAUGAGCCUCGAAAGGACUGAUUGAAAAAGGAUUUCGAAAAGAGAGAGAGAGAAAAAAAAGAAAGAAAAUAAACGAAAGAAGAGAAGAGAAGGUAUCGCGACGAUAUAAGCGAGAACACUUUGAAUCAAAAACCGAUAUCGAGUCGUUCGAACGUUCAACGUAAACAAAUGGCAUUUUGCCAGAUUCGAAGCAAUACGCCGAUUGGCAGCGCACCAAUUUAUCACGUGACCGGUUAACGAGCCAAUAGAUUUCGUAGAACGUCACUGACGUAUUUAACCCGGACGAAUAGCGGUCGUCGACGAAUUUCAAAAUACUAAUUCGUUAGAAACUCUAUUUUAUAUAUAUAUACAUUUAUUUUUAAUAAAGAUAGCUUGACUAAAACUAAAGCUAAAAGGAUUAUC